rnacentral:rRNA from 1 species
AGUGAACGCUGGCGGUAGGCCUAACACAUGCAAGUCGAACGGCAGCACAGUAAGAGCUUGCUCUUACGGGUGGCGAGUGGCGGACGGGUGAGGAAUACAUCGGAAUCUACUUUUUCGGGGGGGAUAACGUAGGGAAACUUACGCUAAUACCGCAUACGACCUACGGGUGAAAGCAGGGGAUCUUCGGACCUUGCGCGAUUGAAUGAGCCGAUGUCGGAUUAGCUAGUUGGCGGGGUAAAGUCCCACCAAGGCGACGAUCCGUAGCUGGUCUGAGAGGAUGAUCCGGCACACUGGAACUGAGACACGGUCCAGACCCCUAAGGGAGGCAGGAGCGGGGAAUAUUGGACAAUGGGCGCAAGCCUGGUCCAGCCAUCCCGCGUGGGUGAAGAAGGCCUUCGGGUUGUAAAGCCCUUUUGUUUGGAAAGAAAAGCAGCAGGUUAAUACCCCGCUGUUCUGACGGUACCCAAAGAAUAAGCACCGGCUAACUUCGUG